UACGUAGGGGGCAAGCGUUGUCCGGAUUUAUUGGGCGUAAAGAGCGUGUAGGCGGCCUGACAGGUCAGCUGUGAAAACUCGAGGCUCAACCUCGAGACGUCGGUUGAAACCAUCUGGCUAGAGUCCGGAAGAGGAGUGUGGAAUUCCGAGUGUAGAGGUGAAAUUCGUAGAUAUUCGGAAGAACACCAGUGGCGAAGGCGACUUACUGGACACGUAUUGACGCUGAGGUGCGAAAGCGUGGGGAGCAAACAGG
rnacentral:rRNA from 1 species